AAAGGUGAUACUACGACCAGAACGACUGACUGCAGACUUUCAACAAGUCAAUGGCACCCUGCUCAUGACGCUUCGCUGGAGGAUGUCCCAGCAUGCACUGGACCCAGCAGCUGUGGAGGGGUUCCAGUUCACCUGGACACUGCAAUCAGGUGUUACCAUGGAAACAGAGGGGCAAGAAGACACACUUAUCUCCCAGACACAGACAAUUGCACCGUCUCAGCGGUCGGUGUCAGUUCAGAGCCUUCAGGCCGACAGUGUUUACCAGCUGCAGCUCCAGGUGCUAACAACAGGAGGCAGCAACGGUGCAGCAGUCUCCAAGACCAUACAUACUCCAGCUCUCAACACCACACAUUGAUAGACCCAAACCCUGCAGUUGUCACCAUCUGCUGCACUAACGGUCAUCUUCACCAACAUCUACUUCUCCGCUGUCUUCCACAGUGCGACAUGCUUUAAUUGCAGUCUGAGUGCAGAAAACAUGCUGUAAAAUAAAGAAAGUUACUCUGUGUAGAUCAUUCUUUCAUCAUAACUGUUUGUCUUACUAUGACCCCCCUCCCCCCACUUUUCAAACAUCAGGAAGGUUGUGAGCCCGCUUUAAUGGAAAAUUAUCAUUAAUCAUUCAUCUAAUCGAUCAAUCUGUCAGGUGAUC